rnacentral:rRNA from 1 species
AAUUUAUUGAUCAAGCGCAAAAGGGCUUGCGGUGGAUUCCUUGGCGUCAAUGGGCGAUGAAGGGCGUAGCAAGCUGCGAUAAGCUUCGGGGAGCCGCUAACAGGCGUUGAUCCGGAGAUUCCCGAAUGGGGCAACCCUGCACAGGUCAUACUGUGCAAUCUUCGACUGAAUACAUAGGUCGUUGAGGCUAACCAGGAGAAUUGAAACAUCUUAGUACCCUGAGGAACAGAAAGCAAAAGCGAUUCCCUUAGUAGUGGCGAACGAACGGGGAACAGCCUAAACCAAGUGUUACGUUAAAACCCGUGGGUGUUGUACAUUUGGGGUUGUGGGUCUCAAUUUGGCGGAACUACGGAUCUGCCGGAAUGUUACAAAAACAUACUUUAGUUUAGCAGGCUGGAAAGCCUGGCCAUAGAUGGUGAUAGCCCAGUGAACGAAAAGGUAUGUUCAUUCUUGAUUGAGUACCCAAGUACUGCGGGACACGAGAAAUCUUGCAGGAAUCUGGGAGGACCACCUCUCAAGGCUAAAUACCAUUGACGACCGAUAGUGAACUAGUACCGUGAGGGAAAGGUGAAAAGCACCCCGGUAAGGGGAGUGAAAUAGUAUAUGAAACCGCGAGCCUACAAGCAGUGGGAGCACUAUACUCUUGCUUCGGCAGGAGAAUGUGUGACCGCAUACCUUUUGCAUAAUGAGCCGCCGAGUUACUUUACUUAGCAAGGUUAAGCCGAUAGGUGUAGCCGUAGCGAAAGCGAGUCUGAAUAGGGCGUUUAGUUAAGUGGAGUAGACCCGAAGCCGGGUGAUCUACCCAUGUCCAGGGUGAAGCGUAGGUAACACUACGUGGAGGCCCGAACCAGUAGACGUUGAAAAGUCUUUGGAUGAGGUGUGGGUAGGGGUGAAAGGCUAAUCAAACCCGGCAAUAGCUGGUUCUCCCCGAAAUAGUUUUAGGACUAGCCUUGUAUAAUAGUAAACGGAGGUAGGGCGCUGGAUGGACUAGGGGCCUCACCAGGUUACCAAACCCAACCAAUCUUCGAAUUCCGUUUACCGUAUUACAGGAGUCAGACUGCGGGUGAUAAGGUCCGUAGUCGAGAGGGAAAGAGCCCAGACCACCAGCUAAGGUCCCUAAGAUAGACUAAGUGGGAAAGGUUGUAGGAAUACACAGACAAUCAGGAGGUUGGCUUAGAAGCAGCAAUCCUUUAAAGAAAGCGUAAUAGCUCACUGAUCAAGUGUACCUGCGCCGAAAAUUUAACGGGGCUAAGUUUAUCACCGAAGCUGUGGAUUGGAGAUAACUUCGGUUAUCUCUUCUGGUAGGGGAGCGUUCCAUACUGGGCUGAAGCUCGAUCGUAAGAACGGGUGGACUGUAUGGAAGUGAGUAUGGCGGCAUGAGUAACGAUAAAACAGGUGAGAAACCUGUUCGCCGAAAAUCCAAGGGUUCCUGAGGAAGGUUAAUCCUCUCAGGGUAAGUCGACCCCUAAGGCGAGGCCGAAAGGCGUAGCUGAUGGGAAGCGGGUUAAUAUUCCCGUACCACUUGAAUCGCGUUAUUAGCGAUGGGGUAACGUAGAAGGGUAAUUUAUCCGGGUGUUGGACGUCCCGGUUCAAGCAUGUAGGAGGGUGGUUUUGGCAAAUCCGGAUCACCAUUAACUCUGAGGUGUGAUGAGGAGCUUCUCCUUCGGGACAAGCGAACUAAAUGAUCCCAUGCUACCGAGAAAAACCUCUAGUGAGCUAUUCAGGUGAUCGUACCCUAAACCGACACGGGUGGAUGAGUAGAGAAUACUAAGGCGCUUGAGAGAACUCUGGUUAAGGAACUCGGCAAAUUAGCUCCGUAACUUCGGGAUAAGGAGUGCCCUCAUAAGGUGAAAGAACUUGCUUCUGGAGCUGAAGGGGGUUGCAGUGACCAGGUAGCCGCGACUGUUUACUAAAAACAUAGGACUCUGCGAAGUCGCAAGACGAUGUAUAGGGUCUGACGCCUGCCCGGUUCCGGAAGGUUAA